UACGUAGGGCGCAAGCGUUGUCCGGAAUUAUUGGGCGUAAAGAGCUCGUAGGCGGUCUGUCACGUCUGCCGUGAAAACCCGAGGCUUAACCUCGUGGCUUGCGGUGGAUACGGGCAGACUAGAGGUAGGUAGGGGAGAUCGGAAUUCCUGGUGUAGCGGUGAAAUGCGCAGAUAUCAGGAGGAACACCGGUGGCGAAGGCGGAUCUCUGGGCCAUUACUGACGCUGAGGAGCGAAAGCGUGGGGAGCGAACAGG
rnacentral:rRNA from 1 species